CAGUCGAACGAAGCUUGACGAAUGAUUUCUUCGGAAUGAAAUCUGAUAUGACUGCCUUGAGGACGGGUGAGUAACGCGUGAGCAACCUGCCCUUCGGAACGGGAUAGUGUCUGGAAACGGACAGUAAUACCGUAUAACGUAUUUUUACCGCAUGAUAGAAAUACCAAAACUGAGGUGCCGAAGGAUGGGCUCGCGUCUGAUUAGAUAGUUGGUGGGGUAACGGCCUACCAAGUCGACGAUCAGUAGCCGGACUGAGAGGUUGAACGGCCACAUUGGGACUGAGACACGGCCCAGACUCCUACGGGAGGCAGCAGUGGGGAAUAUUGCACAAUGGGGGAAACCCUGAUGCAGCAACGCCGCGUGAAGGAAGACGGUUUUCGGAUUGUAAACUUCUGUUCUUAGUGAAGAAUAAUGACGGUAGCUAAGGAGCAAGCCACGGCUAACUACGUGCCAGCAGCCGCGGUAAUACGUAGGUGGCAAGCGUUGUCCGGAAUUACUGGGUGUAAAGGGAGCGUAGGCGGGAUGCCAAGUCAGCUGUGAAAACUAUGGGCUUAACCUGUAGACUGCAGUUGAAACUGGUAUUCUUGAGUGAAGUAGAGGUUGGCGGAAUUCCGAGUGUAGCGGUGAAAUGCGUAGAUAUUCGGAGGAACACCGGUGGCGAAGGCGGCCAACUGGGCUUUAACUGACGCUGAGGCUCGAAAGUGUGGGGAGCAAACAGGAUUAGAUACCCUGGUAGUCCACACUGUAAACGAUGAUAACUAGGUGUGGGGGGUCUGACCCCUU
rnacentral:rRNA from 1 species